rnacentral:rRNA from 1 species
UACGUAGGGGGCAAGCGUUGUCCGGAAUCAUUGGGCGUAAAGCGCGUGUAGGCGGCUGGCUAAGUCCGCUCUGAAAGCCCGGGGCUCAACCCCGGGAGGCGGGUGGAUACUGGUCAGCUCGAGUCCGGAAGAGGAGUGUGGAAUUCCUGGUGUAGCGGUGAAAUGCGCAGAUAUCAGGAGGAACACCGAUUGCGAAGGCAGCUCGCUGGGACGUGACUGACGCUGAGACGCGAAAGCGUGGGGAGCAAACAGG